rnacentral:lncRNA from 1 species
UUACAGACAAACGUUCACGUAAAUUGUCCCAGUCAAUGGAUGAAUUUAAUGUGUCAAUCAAUGGCCACAGCCACACUGUUUUGAAUUUCAUUCUAUUGCCCCGUACAUGUGACAAGCCACACUAAAAUUGAUUUGACUUGUUUUAACUUUAAAAUAGUUGCACCAUAUAAGGCAGUUACUAAAAUAUACGAAAUAAAAGACAAUUUGUCAGGUCUUCCAGUUACCAACUUGAAGCAAUAAUAUAUAAUUCGUAACUUGAUUGGAAUAUCUAAUGGAUAUGUUCCCAAUUAACCUUGGAUUAUAAAAUCAGAGGGUAGACUUUUUUACUCCAAGUUAUAUUUGACAAAAUUUAAUAUGAACCCUCUCGAUUAUCGAUUAGGCCAAAUAAAAAUAUAUGUGUGGUUCCAGUUACCCUACCUUCCCUACUUUUUCGGCUUAAAAAUAGCCUACCCUAAAGAUUUUAUUGUCAUUUUUCAUUAAGCACGGUUAAAGUCAGAGUGUUGCUCCCAUAGACUCAAUGUAAAAAAAAACAUAAAAUAAAAAAAAAAAUCCCUACCUACUUACCCUAACUUUUUUUCAGAUGUAACAGGAACCACACAUACUAUUUUAUUUGGCCUUAUCGAAUUAUUUCCAAAACCCCAAACUUCACAUCCAUACAAAUUGCACCAAUAAAAAGACUUAAGAGAGACUUUCAAGACACAAUAUAGUCAGACAGACAGAAUAUUUCAUAACAGUUUUGCAUACCAAUAAAUCAAUAUCAUACAUCAUAAGUAUAAUAAAAAUAAACAUAUUUUGAUCUUUUAAGUUAAAAUAAUUGACGUGUGAGACACUUUCA